UACGUAGGGGCCGAGCGUUGUCCGGAGUUAUUGGGCGUAAAGGGCUCGUAGGCGGUUUGUCGCGUCGGGAGUGAAAACCCAGGGCUUAACCCUGGGCUGGCUUCCGAUACGGGCAGACUAGAGGUAGGCAGGGGCAAGUGGAAUUCCUGGUGUAGCGGUGAAAUGCGCAGAUAUCAGGAGGAACACCGGUGGCGAAGGCGGCUUGCUGGGCCUUACCUGACGCUGAGGAGCGAAAGUGUGGGGAGCGAACAGG
rnacentral:rRNA from 1 species